rnacentral:rRNA from 1 species
GGAUCGGAGUCUGCAACCCGACUCCGUGAAGCUGGAUUCGCUAGUAAUCGCGCAUCAGCCAUGGCGCGGUGAAUACGUUCCCGGGCCUUGUACACACCGCCCGUCAAGCCAUGGGAGCCGGGGGGUGCUUGAAGUGCGUCGCCGCGAGGCGCGCCCUAGAGCAAAACCGGUGACUGGGGCUAAGUCGUAACAAGGUAAC